rnacentral:lncRNA from 1 species
AGCAGACCCGGGUUGAACCUGACCCUUGGCUCUGGAACCUCAGGGGGAAAGUCGGCGCCUGCCGCCCUUCCGGGCGUGAGCCCUGCCCUAUAGCCGCUCACCUGAGCUUCCCCGUCGUGCUUGUUGCCUUGGAGACCAGGAUUCCACCUGCAGGCCCCACCAUCAGCCUCUCUCGCUCGCUGGCUCCCUGGGCCUCUUUCUGUGGCCCUUGGCGGGACCCCUGGCUCCCACGCCGCCCAAAGCCUGGCGGCAUGUGCGCAUGCGCACACCUACCUGCUCACUAAAGACCGUUCCACAGGCCUUCCCUCAAACCGCUCCUUUUCUAGCCCAAGUAUUCUUUUUAUUUUUCAGUCAAGUGGACCUUGACAAGCCUGUCCCCUAGGAUUACAUGGAGGAGUCCGAAGGAGCAGAUGAUGGUGGGCACACGCCCAGCUCGGAAAUGAAGAACUCUGGCUGGUUCAUGAGACCAAGAGGUAAAAAAAAAAAAAAAAAAAAAAAAAAAAGCCAAAAAGACAUAUCUUCUUUUUUUUUCAGAAGCUGUAACCAAUAAAAGCUUUUGAAAAUCCUCUUGGAGCUAUGAUUUCCGAUGUCAGAGCUGAUGAGUCUUAAAGCUUGAAAGGGGCCAUGUAAGCUUGAAUGAUCAAGUUCAAUGCCUCAUCUAAAAAGGAAAUGGACACUGAGAAAGGACAAGUCUUCUGCAGAAGGACAUUGAGAGGUAGCAGAGCCUAGAAAAGAAGUUGGGUCUCCUGACACCCAGGCCAUGACUGGAGCCAUGUAUAGACAGGUAGGUUUUGAAGAAAGAAGAGCAGAGUGCUCAGGAAUAGUGCCCUGGACUCCUAGGAACUAGCAAGACUUUCCCAUCAGGCAGUUUGGUAUUUAUCUAAUUAUCUCAAAUACCAUCUAUAUGUGUCAGACCUUCCCAGGAUGGUGGGGUGAAAAUAGCAGUGGCCCUCCCUAACCACUGGAAUCUUCAUUUAGACAGAGACCGGGCAGCAAGAAGAUUUACCCAGGUUGCUUUAAGGGAGGUUUCCUUGCCCAGAACAGUACAUAAACCUUCUCAUCCGGAAGAUCCUCAUUUUUCUCAGCCUGACUCCAAUCCAUUUGCCAAUCCAAAACAGAGUGUGUUACGCAUUAAAGCCACAGGAUCCUUUAUGGGUAACACAUGGAGCUAUAAUAUCUCGUAACCCAGUGGUAUUGUCCCUAGAGUUAAUAUAACUCCGUUAACAUAUGUUUCUGCUAUUCCCAUCCCGAGAUACUUGUAUUGAAGUAUAUUACGUACAGUGUAUGGUUAGUUGAAAGAUACAGGGGGUAUAUUAAAAAAUAAAUCUGUUUAUAUGACCUAUGCUGAAAUACA